UGCGCCGUGUGGUUGGCACGCAGUGAUGCGAUCUUCCUCGGAAGACACUCCAAAAACAGCGAUCUCAACACGAGUGUUUUUGCUAACGAAUAGAAGCGUUUGGACUCAUUAUAAGCGUUCCCAGGAGACGGGGAAGUCGUCUAAAGGCGCCUUCCAUUCGCAGAAAGAAGAAGCGCACUUUAAAACCGCAACUUCGCUCAUAUGAUGUGACUGUAAAGAGCGUCUGGAUCUAGGGGGAGAGGGGGGACUUUCCGUACUAUCCGCAUUCACUUUACGGAAUAUUCUUUUUUUACAGUAGCAUAAGUGCAUCCUGGUGAGUGGAUUUAUUUCUUAUCUUGUAUUAAAGAACCAGGUUUACACGGAGACCACAUGAGCUGCUCCUGAGCAAACAAUCAGAGAGACAGGCAACAAUAGAGGAAGAGAGUUCAACCCAUGGAAUUUCAUCAUAUCUUAUCUUGUAGUGGCUCUUCAGCGGCUCUUCUUGCAAUAAGCACAAUUUAUUUUCUGCAAUCCAAGAUAGUGAGAUAUUACCAGAUGUCAACCUGCUUGCUUCUGACAAACGGAAGCCACAGCAAUAUGACUGAUUAUUUUAGUCGUGACCACCAGUAGGCUAUGGAAGAAAAACUCAGCAUCAUAUUUGUGAAUUUGUUUUCCCAGCCACAAACUGUUGAUGUCACAGUCUUGCAACCUUGCCAAAACACAUAUUUAAGUGGCAGUAAUAAUCAAUGCAUUUCUGAACUCAGGAAAUCAAUAUCCUCCCACGACUUCUGUUUCAAUCCAUAGAGUUUGAAGGUUAACACUAUUUGCUGUGAAAGAAGUUUAAAAAGUGCGUUGCACACGGCGAGUCCCCUCUAUUCACAGUGUGCUAUUUGUCUUGCCUGGGUGAUGGAAAUUUGGCAAUUCGUUUGGUUUGGAGGACAAUAUGGAUAGUUUAAAAUUCAGAGAGAAAACGUAUAAUUGAAGAUGACCUUAAAAGCAACCAAAACAUGGUUUUUAAGGCUCCUUCCUGUUGUGCUAUUCUUCAUCUGUUACUAUUGCUCUCAGAUUUACUUUGACAGCUAUGGCAGCAGUGGAAAGUCUCCUAAGACGACUGUUUCUCUGUGUGACAUUAACAGUUCACAGAGGAAGUGGAGCAGUCUCCAUUUGAA